rnacentral:rRNA from 1 species
UACAGAGGUCUCAAGCGUUGUUCGGAUUCAUUGGGCGUAAAGGGUGCGUAGGCGGCGCGGUAAGUCGGGUGUGAAAUCUUGGAGCUUAACUCCGAAACUGCAUUCGAUACUGCGGUGCUUGAGGACUGGAGAGGAGACUGGAAUUCAUGGUGUAGCAGUGAAAAUGCGUAGAGAUCAUGAGGAAGACCAGUGGCGAAGGCGGCUUUCUGGGCCUUACCUGACGCUGAGACGCGAAAAGCGUGGGGGAGCGAACCGG